rnacentral:rRNA from 1 species
AGGCCAGUACUGCGUCGCAGCCUGAUCAGCAUGCCGCGUGAGUGAAGAAGGCCUUCGGGUUGUAAAGCUCUUUUGUCAGGGAAGAUACGGUGGGGGCGAAUAACUUCUACUAAUGACGGUACCUGAAGAAUAAGCACCGGCUAACUACGUGCCAGCAGCCGCGGUAAU